AGUAUCUUUAUUUUAUUUAUUUAUUUUUAGGUGGUGCUGAGGAUUGAACCCAGUGCCUCAGGCAUGCGAGGCAAGCACUCUACCACUGAGCUACAAUCUCAGCCCUAGCUCUCUUAUUUAUGUCAAUGAUGCAUUUUUGAAUGAACUUUUAUAUACAAUGUGAGGUAGGGAUUAAACUUCAUUCUUUUACUGAUGAAUAUCAAGUUUCCCACCCAUUUGUUGAAAGACUGUUCUUUUAUCUUCUACCCCCCAACUCAGUGAAUUAUAUUGGCACCUUAUCUACCCUUCUACUCUUGAAAGUAGUUUUCAUGAAUCUUCAAAAAAGGAACUUGUCUUUAACCUGCUUAAAUUAACACACUAUUAUGACAUAUAUAAUGAAUACUUUAGUAGAGUCUGUUGAAUGUUAUGAAAACAGAGGGUUCCUAUUCAGUUGGGAGAACUAGGACAAAGAUUACAGGAAGGUGUCAUGAAAGCUUCCUUGAAAAACAAGCAAGUGUAGUUAGGCAGUGUGGGUGGAGUGUCAGGAAGAGGAAAUAACAUAUAUAAAGGCUGAGAGACAAUUGCGGUAGAGUUGGGUAGAUAAUAUUACCUAUUUUCUUUAUGUAACACUUCGUUUUCCUUACUAAGAAAAACCUUGUAUCAUCCUCCAUGGGCCCACCCAUAUGUUAUGUCUUAAAAUUGUGUUGGAUUAGGACUGACCAAAAGAGUAUACUUAAAAGUCAAAUCUAUCAGAUCUUAUGGUCUCAUGUGCCUAAGAAUCUCUGGAGAAAGAUAUAAACUAGUUCACACCUGGACCCAUGGAAGGCUGAGUUAGAAAAGAGUGAAGUCAGGUAUUAUUUUAGUACAGGUGCAUUCUGUUUCCUAGAUUUUCCUAAAGGAAACUGGGUUCCUAAAUUUUCCUUUAAGGGGAAAUAUAGUCAUAUAAUAGAAUAUCAAUCCAUGGAGUGUUGGACCUAAAUUUAAUUCUAGUUUUGUCAUUUCUGCUGAUAAAAUCUUGGUUCCCUAACCUCCUUGAAUCUCAUACUUGUUUUUCUAAAACAGGGACAUUAAUACCUACCUUCAGGGGAUCUUGUAAGGAUUAACUGAAAAUAUCUAACAGCUGACCAGAGUGUUUUGUAAGUGGGAAUUUCUUUUCCAAAUCUAGUGCUCUGUACCUAGUCCUGGUGUUUAUGGGGAAGAAACCUGGAAUUCUCUCCGCAGGGAAGUAUACUUGUUUAAGUUAGACUACUGUCCUUUGCUUUUUAGUCACUGACCUCAGGAGGGUAAAAAAUGACUAUUUGACAUCACCUAAUCCUGGAGGGGGCAGUGGCUUUUUAGUAGGAAUGGGAUAUGUGUUGGUUAGUGCUAAAGCAGAUUAUGUGGCAAUCACAGCAUAUUACUUUGCUGCAGAGUAUGGUUUUUAUACUUUCCAAGUCUGUCCUUUCUAGCAGGAACACUCAGAUGGUUUCUGUUCGAGUUUACUUUGGAACACAGCCAACCUCACCUGACUCAGCUUUUUGUUACCUUGAAAAUAGUAAGGUGAAUACCUUUUCCUGUUCUACUAGCUGCUUAGUAACAGAAUGCAGGGGAAGCCUAAGUUUAGUGUUGAAAGUUUUCUCUUGCUCAGAGGAUGAUGUGACUGUGGUCAUGGUCUUGAACUUCAUCUAAGGCAUAGAUAGCCCUGUUCAGUAGCUUAAGUAGGUCUUUAAAAUGAGAUGGCUACUACCAUCAUUUCCAUUUUCUCUGUAGGUGGUUCUUAGGAACAACACAGAAGGACUAAGACCAGAAUAAAAGGUUGAACCUUGCUUGGGCAUGACUUCACUAUGAUAUGGAAUAAAAUUACCAUGAGCAACAGUUGUUAUCUAAGUACAGGAUAGCCUCAGUCCUGUUCUCUUUCUCUCUCUAAUUAAAUACCUGAUUAUUACUGGUUGUAAGAAAAUAAUAAAAUGAAUAAGAAGUAACCCUACGCUCAAGAAGUUUAUAAAACCGGGCUCAGUAGUGCACAUCUGCAAUCUCAGUGAACUGGAAGGCUGAGGCAGGAGGAUUGGAAGUUCAAGGCCAGCCUCAGCAAAUUAGCAAGACCCUAAGCAACUUAUGGAGACCUUGUCUCAAAAUAAAAAAUAAAAAUGGCUAGGGUUAUGGCUCAGUGGUGAAGUGCCACUGAGUUCAGUUCCUGGUAUUAAAAAAAAAAAAGUUUUUCAAAAGAUUUGGUAGAGAACUGUAUAAUUGUCAGAGAAUGAAUGUCGUGAGAUUUACUUAUAGCAAUCCUUGGGCACACAGAAUAG
rnacentral:lncRNA from 1 species